CCUACGGGAGGCAGCAGUGGGGAAUAUUGCACAAUGGCGGAAACCCUGAUGCAGCGACGCCGCGUGAGUGAAGACGUAACUCGUUAUGUUAAGCUCUAUCAGCAGGGAAGAAAAUGACGGUACCUGAGUCAGAUGCCCCGGCUAACUACGUGCCAGCAGCCGCGGUAAUACGGAGGGGGCAAGCGUUAUCCGGAUUUACUGGGUGUAAAGGGAGCGUAGACGGCAGGGCAAGUCUGGAGGGAAAGGCGGGGGCCCAACCCCCGGACUGCUCUUGAAACUGUACGGCUGGAGUGCAGGAGAGGUAAGUGGAAUGCGUAGUGUAGCGGUGAAAUGCGUAGAUAUUAGGAGGAACACCAGUUGCGAAGGCGGCUUACUGGACUGUAACUGACGUUGAGGCUCGAAAGCGUGGGGAGCAAACAGGAUUAGAUACCCUAGUAGUC
rnacentral:rRNA from 1 species